AUGGCGUUUGGCAGAUGGCUUGCUCCUGCAUGGGCGCCGGCUUUUCGUGCUGGAUCAUGGCGACCUCCGUCACCAGGUUCUGCUGCUAGCACACUCACCGGCCACGAGGGCGUGCAGAAGACCCUUCACCGUCUCUGCGCUGAUUUCUACAUCCCCGGCGACCGGGCCCUGGUACGAGAUUGGGUGCGGUCUUGCCUGACGUGCCAGCGCAACAAGACGAAGACACUGCGACCGGCCGGGCUGCUCCAGCCCCUGGAGGUUCCCUCUCAAGUUUGGGCCGACAUCUCCAUGAACUUCAUCGAGGGCCUUCCCAAGGUGGGCGGCAAGUCCGUCAUCCUUACUGUGGUCAACCGCUUCUCCAAGUAUGCGCACUUCAUCGCGCUCGGCCAUCCCUACACUGCCGCCUCCGUGGCGCGUGCCUUCUUCGACAGCAUCAUCCGCCUCCAUGGGUUCCCCUCUUUGAUCGUCAGCGACCGGGACCCGGUGUUCACUCGGCAUGUCUGGUGCGAUCUCUUCUGCAUGGCGGGCGUGAAGCCGCGCCUGAGUACGGCCUUCCAUCCUCAGACGGAUGGUCAAUCGGAGGUGGUCAACAAGGUGAUUGCCAUGUAUUUGCGUUGUGUUACAGGUGAUCGUCCCCGUGCUUGGGUGGACUGGCUCGCGUGGGCGGAGUACUGCUACAACACUUCAUACCACUCCGCCCUGCGCGCCACACCUUUUGAGGUGGUCUAUGGCCGACCGCACCCGCCCAUCCUACCGGUUGACCCCGAGACGGCUAGGACGGAGGCGGCUGGCGACCUUCUUCGCAACAGAGAUGAGAUGCUUGCGGAGGUGCGCCAACGACUUCUCCAGGCCCAGCAGUUGUCCAAGCACUACUACGACGCCCACCACCGCAAGGCGAAGUUUGCGGUGGGCGACUGGGUAUGGCUGCACCUCCUUCACCGCUCCAUGCAGUCCCUCGACCCACGCGCAAAGCGCAAGCUGGGCCCUCGCUACACGAGGCCAUUUUUCGUGCUGGAACGCAUCGGAAAGGUGGCCUACCGCCUUCAGCUUCCGAUCGGUGCCCGCGUCCAUGAUGUCUUCCAUGUGGAGUUGCUGAAGCCCUUCCACGGGGAACCGUCGACGACCACGUCGGUGCUUCCUCCGACCUCCGACGGGCGCCUUCUUCAAGGACCGGCGAAGGUGUUGCAGGUCCAGCAGCGUCGCGGGGUGUGGCACUUGUUGAUCCAGUGGUAA
rnacentral:rRNA from 1 species